rnacentral:rRNA from 1 species
GGUAGAGAUAUCAUAGCUAGCAAUAGUCUGUAUCGAGGUGCUGCAUGGUUGUCGUCAGCUCGUGCCGUGAGGUGUCGGCUUAAGUGCCAUAACGAGCGCAACCCUUGUCGUUAGUUACCAUCAAGUAAAGUUGGGGACUCUAGCGAGACUGCCACCGUAAGGUGUGAGGAAGGGGGAUGACGUCAAAUCAGCACGGCCCUUACGUCCGGGGCGACACACGUGUUACAAUGGUAGGUACAGAGGGGCGCUAUCCAGUGAUGGAGUGCGAAUCUCAAAAACCUAUCUCAGUUCGGAUUGGAGUCUGCAACUCGACUCCAUGAAGUUGGAUUCGCUAGUAAUCGCGCAUCAGCCAUGGCGCGGUGAAUACGUUCCCGGGCCUU